rnacentral:rRNA from 1 species
GUUGGAACCUGGUGGGCCUAGCCUACCCGGAUUGUAAACUAAAGUUUUUGGGUCGUUUAGUCAGCCAGAUAAAUAAGUCCUCUGGAAAGGGGCGACAUAGAGGGUGAAAUCCCCGUCUUUGGUCUGAGCAUGAUUAGGCGUUUGGCCUGGAAACGAAGAGUCAGGUUGUUUGGGAAUGCAGCCUAAAAUGGGAGGUAAAUCUCUCCUAAAGCUAAAUAUUGACGAAAGACCGAUAGCGAACAAGUACCGUGAGGGAAAGAUGAAAAGCACUUUGAAAAGAGGGUCAAAAAGUACGUGAAAUUGCUGAAAGGGAACCGUAUAAAAUCAGACUUACUGGUAGGUAAUCAACCUUCCUCUCGGGGAGGGUGCACUUGCCUGCUAUUGUAUGCCAGCAAUACUUUGGUUGGGAGGAAAAAAGUAGGAGAAAUGUAGCCUGGGUUUCGGCUUAGGUGUUAUAGUCUCUUGCAAAAUACUCUCGGCUGGAGUAAGGAACGCAGCAAACCGUAAGGCGAAGAUUUUGGGCGCUUGGAGUUAAUAGUUGGAGAAUUUCUGCUUCGGGUGGUGCUUCAGCUAUUGAUUUUAACUCGCUUAAAGUUCUUUUAAUUUGCUUAGGUUGUUGGCUUAAUGAU